AGAGUUUGAUCAUGGCUCAGAUUGAACGCUGGCGGCAGGCUUAACACAUGCAAGUCGAACGGUAGCAGGAGAAAGCUUGCUUUCUUGCUGACGAGUGGCGGACGGGUGAGUAAUGCUUGGGAAUCUGGCUUAUGGAGGGGGAUAACUACGGGAAACUGUAGCUAAUACCGCGUAGAAUCGGAAGAUGAAAGUGCGGGACCGCAAGGCCGCAUGCCAUGAGAUGAGCCCAAGUGGGAUUAGGUAGUUGGUGGGGUAAAGGCCUACCAAGCCUGCGAUCUCUAGCUGGUCUGAGAGGAUGGCCAGCCACACUGGAACUGAGACACGGUCCAGACUCCUACGGGAGGCAGCAGUGGGGAAUAUUGCGCAAUGGGGGGAACCCUGACGCAGCCAUGCCGCGUGAAUGAAGAAGGCCUUCGGGUUGUAAAGUUCUUUCGGUAUUGAGGAAGGUUGAUGUGUUAAUAGUACAUCAAAUUGACGUUAAAUACAGAAGAAGCACCGGCUAACUCCGUGCCAGCAGCCGCGGUAAUACGGAGGGUGCGAGCGUUAAUCGGAAUAACUGGGCGUAAAGGGCACGCAGGCGGUUAUUUAAGUGAGGUGUGAAAGCCCCGGGCUUAACCUGGGAAUUGCAUUUCAGACUGGGUAACUAGAGUACUUUAGGGAGGGGUAGAAUUCCACGUGUAGCGGUGAAAUGCGUAGAGAUGUGGAGGAAUAC
rnacentral:rRNA from 1 species